GACGAACGCUGGCGGCGUGCUUAACACAUGCAAGUCGAACGGAAAGGCCCUGCUUUUGUGGGGUGCUCGAGUGGCGAACGGGGGGGUAACACGAGAGUAACCUGCCCUUGACUUUGGGAUAACUUCAGGAAACGGGGGUUAAUAUCGGACAGGAGCUCCUGUUGCAUGGUGGGGGUUGGAAAGUUUCGGCGGUUGGGGAUGGACGCGCGGCUUAUCAGCUUGUUGGUGGGGUAGUGGCUUACCAAGGCUUUGACGGGUAGCCGGCCUGAGAGGGUGGCCGGCCACAUUGGGACUGAGAUACGGCCCAGACUCCUACGGGAGGCAACAGUGGGGAAUAUUGCCCAAUGGGCGGGAGCCUGAUGCGGCGACGCCGCGUGCGGGAUGACGGCCUUCGGGUUGUGAACCGCUUUCGCCUGUGACGAAGCGUGAGUGACGGUAAUGGGUAAAGAAGCACCGGCUAACUACGUG
rnacentral:rRNA from 1 species